AUUACUUUGACAGAAUAGUGUGUUUGAUUUAGAAUCAUAUAAUGUAUUAAUUACAUGUAAUU
rnacentral:tRNA from 1 species